rnacentral:rRNA from 2 species
UAAGGAAUAUUGCACAAUGGAGGAAACUCUGAUGCAGCCAUGCCGCGUGCAGGAAGACUGCCCUAUGGGUUGUAAACUGCUUUUCUACAAGAAGAAACCCCAGUACGUGUACUGGCUUGACGGUAUUGUAGGAAUAAGCACCGGCUAACUCCGUGCCAGCAGCCGCGGUAAUACGGAGGGUGCAAGCGUUAUCCGGAUUUAUUAGGUUUAAAGGGUCCGCAGGCGGAAUAUUAAGUCAGUGGUGAAAGCCUACAGCUCAACUGUAGAACUGCCAUUGAUACUGAUAUUCUUGAGUGUGGUUGAAGUGAGCGGAAUAUGUCAUGUAGCGGUGAAAUGCAUAGAUAUGACAUGGAACACCAAUUGCGAAGGCAGCUCACUAAGCCAUUACUGACGCUCAUGGACGAAAGCGUGGGGAGCGAACAGG